UUGGGAGCUUGAAUUUUUGGGUUUCUAUUUAAGCCUGACGACAUGGGCUGAUAAGUCUUCAGACUUGUGAUAAGUCGUCAGCUCAUGUCGUCACUCAUUUGCCAGGCGGACAAGCCGGAGUAAAAUGGGUAUAACUUUUUGCUCUGACAUUAGAUUUUGGUGAAAUUGGUAUCAUUGGAAAGAUAAUUAAAUUAUCUAUCAGUUGGUAGGUUAUGAUCUCAAUAAUUCAUAGUAUAACGAGAGAAAUUCUCAUUUAAAUUUGACUAUAGCAAUAUCUUUCCCAAGAAUUUAAUCGGUAAGGAAUGUUUUGAUUCGUUUGAUAGCUGGAAGUUAUUUGAAGACUUAAUAUACAUAUAAAUUGCUCAUAAAACUAUAAAAUAACCAUGAUGUACUAUGCAUGAGCUUGAAACAUGGUGUUAAUAUUGAUUUGGAUUUUUUGGGGUAUUACACCUAGACAAACCCGACCCUUGUGUCGAGUCCCCCUAAGUCAAAUGCACAUGAUGCAAAUAAAGCAAAACCUAAUAGGGAUAACCAGAUUGUGAGUUUCAGUUCUUCUAAGUUUAACCUAAUAGGGAUAGGUGUCUAGACUGGCUUAGUCGAGCGGGCACUCGAGUCGGGGAGGGACAACUUGUUCGGUAGCAAUGCUACUCCGCCUUCGUUGUCAAUCUGAACCCCGCCUAAUAUGUGUGACUAAUAAUUAUUCACCAGGUGCCUUGACACUCCGGCUAUCUCAAAAAGAAAUUAGGAUGCAUGCGCUGCAUUUCCUCUAUCCUAUUUCAAAGACUUAGAGGGAGUGUGCAAGAGAAGACAACUUAUAAUACAGUUCAAUCAAUAUCAAAACAGUAAAUGAGCGACAAGUAGCACAUAAGGACAACAAAUACAUAAAAAUAAUUCAAGCAAGUAAAAUUCAAUAUCCAAAGCUCAAAUUCUGGUUAAUCCCCAAUCGAGUUGCCAGAGAUGUCACACCCCUUUUCUGCUUGAGGUUUGAGUCGAAGGAUUUUUUCAAUUAAAGUGAUGAUAUUCAAU
rnacentral:lncRNA from 1 species